CCUACGGGAGGCAGCAGUGAGGAAUAUUGGUCAAUGGACGGAAGUCUGAACCAGCCAUGCCGCGUGCAGGAAGACGGCUCUAUGAGUUGUAAACUGCUUUUGUACAAGGGUAAACCUGGAUACGUGUAUUCAGCUGAAAGUACUGUACGAAUAAGGAUCGGCUAACUCCGUGCCAGCAGCCGCGGUAAUACGGAGGAUCCAAGCGUUAUCCGGAUUUAUUGGGUUUAAAGGGUGCGUAGGCGGGUUGUUAAGUGAGGGGUGAAAUGUCCGGGCUUAACCCGGGAACUGCCUCUAAUACUGUCAGUCUAGAGAGGAGGUGAGGUAGGCGGAAUGUGUGGUGUAGCGGUGAAAUGCUUAGAGAUCAUGCAGAACACCGAUUGCGAAGGCAGCUUACCAAUCUAUAUCUGACGUUGAGGCACGAAAGCGUGGGGAGCAAACAGGAUUAGAUACCCCGGUAGUC
rnacentral:rRNA from 1 species